AUUGUUAUUCUCGCCCUUUUGUCUAAGAUCAAAGUGUAGUAUCUGUUCUUUUAAGCUUAAUAUCUGAUCAGAGUACCAUGUGUCCUCUUCGAUAUUAAACUUAUUUCCGUUAAGAGGUAUAUGUGCGGUGCUUGCAAUGUCUCCACUAUGAGUUGACCAGGUAUUACAAUACCCCCAGGACCGGCUCACGGUUA
rnacentral:snRNA from 1 species